rnacentral:rRNA from 1 species
AGCGCAGGCGGAUAGGUCAGUCUAAAGUGGAAUCCCGGGGCUCAACCUCGGAACUGCUUCGGAUACUGCCUGUCUUGAGUUCGUGAGAGGAAAGCGGAAUUCAGGGUGUAGCGGUGAAAUGCUUAGAUAUCCUGAGGAACACCAAUGGCGAAGGCAGCUUUUUGGCGCGAUACUGACGCUGAGGCUCGAAAGCGGUGGGGAGCGAACG